rnacentral:rRNA from 1 species
UACGGAGGGGGCUAGCGUUGUUCGGAAUUACUGGGCGUAAAGCGCACGUAGGCGGCUUUGUAAGUUAGAGGUGAAAGCCCAGGGCUUAACCCUGGAAUUGCCUUUAAGACUGCAUCGCUAGAAUCGUGGAGAGGUGAGUGGAAUUCCGAGUGUAGAGGUGAAAUUCGUAGAUAUCGGGAGGAACACCAGUGGCGAAGGCGGCGA